ensembl:lncRNA
UUUAUGAUUUCGUACUGGAAUUGCUCACUUUCCUGUAUAGUGGCACACUUAUAAGUGUGCAAGAUUGUACUGGGUUUAUGUAGAGCCCAGGAGCUGUCCCAUGUCAGAUAGGAGCCAGCUUCAGCUGCUCCAAAAGGGACACUCUGCUGCCAGAGCUGAGCCAUGUGCCUCAAGGAGAACAGAUUAAAAAAGGGAUAAUCUGCUGCACAACAGCAGUAGCUACAUAAGGAGGCAUAGUGAUCAUACUUUCUCAAGGAUGUUCACGUUUAGAGAUGUCAUCUUGAACACUUCAUCGCUUAUUGAAGGUUAUAUUUGAGAUGCCUAGAUCUUUCCUGCUUAUGAUGUGAUGACUGAGAGACUCUCUGGAAUCUUUGAGAUCAUUCUGGAUUUGUCCAUGCUGGAGCCAGUGGAGAAAUUUCACUUGUGGUCUUAACUUUACUUGUGGUUUCACUUGUGGUUUUAACUUUAGUUCCACUUGUCAAAGUUAAAAGAAUGUUCUUUCUCAAAGAAGUUAAAAGAUGUUCUUUCUCAGACCCUCUUGUUUGACAACCAUCUAAAGUCCUUGCUUAAAGCAAGAUGGGACAAAAAACAAUCUGGAAAUUCAGUCAUAGUAAAAU